AUCUGGCUAGCUCAGUUGGUAGAGCGUAAGAUUCUUACAGUCCCUCUGACCGGGUAAGAGUCUUAAGGUCACGGGUCCGAUUCCCGUGCAAGGUA